GAUGAACGCUGGCGGCGUGCCUAAUACAUGCAAGUCGAGCGAACAGACGAGGAGCUUGCUCCUCUGACGUUAGCGGCGGACGGGUGAGUAACACGUGGAUAACCUACCUAUAAGACUGGGAUAACUUCGGGAAACCGGAGCUAAUACCGGAUAAUAUAUUGAACCGCAUGGUUCAAUAGUGAAAGACGGUUUUGCUGUCACUUAUAGAUGGAUCCCCGCCGCAUUAGCUGGUUGGUAAGGUAACGGCUUACCAAGGCGACGAUGCGUAGCCGACCUGAGAGAGUGAUCGGCCACACUGGAACUGAGACACGGUCCAGACUCCUACGGGAGGCAGCAGUAGGGAAUCUUCCGCAAUGGGCGAAAGCCUGACGGAGCAACGCCGCGUGAGUGAUGAAGGUCUUCGGAUCGUAAAACUCUGUUAUUAGGGAAGAACAAAUGUGUAAGUAACUAUGCACGUCUUGACGGUACCUAAUCAGAAAGCCACGGCUAACUACGUG
rnacentral:rRNA from 1 species